AAGGCUCUCAAGCAUUUCUCUGUAUACUCUAAGCAAGACCCAACUUCUAUUAGGAACCCAGUAAAAGUACUUGCGACUACUGAUUAGAAUAUACGGCUGAGUUAUUAUUCUUGCUAUUUAAGACAGGAGCUAGCUCAGAUUAAGUGCAGGUGCUAUACGUAAUAGGCUGGCUACUCCAGGCAUCAUU